rnacentral:lncRNA from 1 species
AACUCACUCCGAACAUAGUCCUCAGGGGGCUAGUAUAAUUGUUUUAUCUUACCAAGAAAAUGAAGCUAUGAGAGGAAGAUGGCUUGCCCAGGAAAUUUCAGCAGCCUAGUAAGGAGCAGAGCUAGAAGCUACUCCCUCAUCACUCUACGAACAGGGUGUGAGAAGACAGCUAAGGGGGCAGAAAUGCCAAGAAUUUUGAUAUGAUGGUGUAAGAUGUCACCAAGAUAUGGCUUGUGUGGUCUUUGGUUUUUUUUUUAUGCUGUCAAAGAAAGUAAGAUAAAACUAGGGCUUUUAUAUGAUUUUUUUUCAUAAUGUUAUUACAUAUUUAAUCUAUAUUCAAUAUUCUCAAUUUGUUUUAAAAAUUUAUUUUGCGGCCAGGCACGGUGACUCAUGCCUGUAAUCCCAGCAUUUUGGGAGGCCAAGAUGGGUGGAUCACCUAAGGUCAGGAGUUCAAGACCACCCUGACCAAUAUGGUGAAACUCCGUCUCUACUAAAAAUACAAAACUUGGCUGAGUGUGGUGGUGCAUGCCUAUAAUCCCAGCUACUUGGGAGGCUGAGGCAGAAGAAUCGUUUGAACCCAGGAGGCGGAGGUUGCAGUGAGCCGAGAUCAUGCCAUUGCACUCCAGUCUGGGCAACAGAGCAAGACUCUGUCUCAAAAAUAAUAAUAAUAAUUUGUUUUGCCUUUGUUGUAUUAAAAAAUGUUUUAAUAGAAGCUAUUUCUUUCUCCUAACCAGGAUCCAAUAAGGUUGUAUUUUGCAUUUUGCAGGACAGUUGUCUUACAGAAGGGCCCACAUUCAAGAUUUGGUUGUUUACGUUAACUUCUAACAUAUUCUGCUAGCCCCUUGCUAUGGUCUGAAUGUUUGCGUCCUCUAACCCCCAAAUUCAUAUGGUGAAACCUAAUUACCAGUGUGAUGGUUCUAGGAGGUGGGCGAUUGGGAGGUGAUAGGUCAUGAAGGCAGAGCUCUCACAAACAGGAUUCAUUGUCCUUAUGGGAGAGGCCUCAGAGAGCUGCCUUGCUCUUUCCACCAUAUAAGGACACUGCGACAGGCAUCAUUUAUG